UACGUAGGGGGCAAGCGUUGUCCGGAUUUAUUGGGCGUAAAGAGCGUGUAGGCGGCCAGGUAGGUCGGUUGUGAAAACUCGAGGCUCAACCUCGAGAUGUCGACCGAAACCAUCUGGCUAGAGUCCGGAAGAGGAGAAUGGAAUUCCCGGUGUAGCGGUGAAAUGCGCAGAUAUCGGGAAGAACACCCGUGGCGAAGGCGGUUCUCUGGGACGGUACUGACGCUGAGACGCGAAAGCGUGGGGAGCGAACAGG
rnacentral:rRNA from 1 species